UGAAUAUUUUUGAAUACAAAUUUAUUUAUGGAUAACCGUUUCUUUUCACAUCCCUAGUCCUGGAUGGAUCCCGUUCUGAUGUGAGAAAUUUAUCAAUGAUCUCCGGUGCACUGUCAAGAAGUUGUUCCCCGUGAGGAAGCUUGUAAACAUACAUAACAUCAAGAACGGCAUUCUGGCAAACAAAAGGAUGAUGGUGCUCGAGGUUUGACAUGAUCGAAGGGAUCAACGGUUCGCCAAUCUCAGGUUCAUGAUAUGGAGAAGGAACCGAAGAGCAACACCGCGAAUGAAUUCAUUAGAAGAUUGUUAUGGAGACAAAUCGGGAUCAUUUCUGGAAGAAUUUUGUCGCGUGAGCCGGUUUUGUCGGCAACUUCAUGAUGCAGAAGGAGGAGAUUCGAAGGUUCUGUUACGGUGGUUCUUGGAAGAUGGUUUAUGUUGGAUGGAUCGUGAAGUUUGAGCAGGUUCGGUUGAUGGAGUUAUAGGAUCGUGAUGGAAGGUUUCAGUGAAGCGGUUCUGUCUGAAGCUUUGACAUCUGGUUCAAUGAUUGCUUUGCCUUCUUCUUGAAGCAUCCAUUUCUCCUCUUCGGAUCGACGUAGAAUUUGUCGGUAAAACUCUUCCCUUUCCAGUUCUCUUCUUCUUCAAUUCUGAUCUGUUUCUUUUUCUUCUCGUGACUAUGCUACUGUUGCGCUUAUGAUGUUGUUGUUCUGUACAUUAUUCUUCCAUUUCUGUUAUUGGUGAGCUUGUGUCGUCGUGUGAGAAUUGUAUGAAGGAUUGCAGUCACGGAAUCUGGUUGCAGGAUCACUCAAGGUUGAAGAUGAGAGUUUUUGGUUGAAAUGGGAAAAUCGGUUAAGGAUUGCGAUUACGGUUGGGCUUGGAGAUGAAGCUUGAAGAAGAGUGAAAACUUGUGCUGAGAAGUGAAGAAUCACCUUCUGAAUGUGAGUUUCUGUUAUGAAGAAAAAUGAAUUGAACCUCCCUCAGAAUGAAGCUUGAGGAGUUUAUAUAGAGCAAGCACUCAUCCUAACCAAUUCGGGCAGACCUUCGGGCAAUCAGGUCAAAUAGUUAAACUGUUAGGAACCAUGUCGAGUCCCGAAUCGACAGCCACUCCACGGCAGUUUUGUUGGCUUUUUGCAAGUAUGCUUGUGGUGAGCAGAAUGAAAGUUUGGCGUGUAGUGAGUUCUUACCCUUAGAAAUAAGUGAACUGCUAUGGAUAUUUUGCUUUUGUGAAUCAGUUUUGGAAAGGUUAAUUGGAUGGUUCUGUCAAUGUUGUUACCUUUAUUAUGGCUUAUAUUCAAUAUGUCCACUCCUUGGUUUUCUUUUGAUCACUUGAUGUCGGUUCACGUUUGAAGGUGAAUAAUGCUUUUGUUUUUCUCUUGGGCUGCAAUGUUACUGAUUUGCUGCAGGAUUCUGGUUCAAACUUGUGGUAUGGUGGUGAUGAAGCAUAGUGUUAGGACUUGAAGAAUCAUGAAGAAACAAGAAUAUAUCAUGUAAUAUGAUGUAUGAAACCUUGGUGUUUUAUAUGCCACAUGUAAUGGAUUAUGUAAUGUAUGCCUUGAAUCUAUGUUUUGGAUCUCGAUUGUGUUCGGAAUUUGUAUGACAUGUUUCAAUGUAAUGUAUGUCAAAUGAACAUGGUUUAAACAUUUGGUUGUUGGCUUAUGCUUAGAAAUUGCAUGGUUGUAAUAUUGAACUUAUGGAUUCAUGAAUCUUGAUUAUACUCUUAAUUUUGGUUGAAAAUUAAGUGUGUGUAA